rnacentral:antisense_RNA from 1 species
GGCAAUCCUGUGAGGAUAAAGGAAUAAAGAACCACAAACUUGUCUGCUGAGCUCAGCAAGUGGAGUGCCGGAAUUCAGGGGAAUCUGUGUUAUCACGCACACUCUUCUCCGAGGAUGGAAUCACAGGCACACCAAAAACUAGCCAUUGCCGUUAGGGAUGGCAUCAAAAGGGACAGCUCCAAAAGAUUACACAGGACAAAAGAAGUGGUCAAAUACAAGCAUUCCUUUGUAAGUGGAUGCUUUAAAUGUAUUAGUAUACUGAGUAAUCCUUUAUCUAGUUGCUCUCCUCUGCUGGGGACCAGAAAGUUGAUAAUAAAUAUUAAAAAAAAAUUUUUUGAAAGGGUUGUGGUUGUGCUUGAACCAACUUUAGAGUUACGUAUUAGGCCUAGUGUCAUGGAGACAAAACAGAAAUGCAAUCUUUGGAUACUGCAGCUGCUUCGUGCUUUUGCCAGCUUAUGCUGCUAAAGAAGGAGAAAAAAAAAAGGACUGCCAGAGCUAAGAAAAUUUAAUACCUUGGAGCUGAUAUAUAAGGUAUUAUUUUGUCUUUUUGACAGGGUCCGGUGCUAUUUUUACCCAAGUUGAUACAGGGGUUAGGUUAGGACUUUAGAAAGAAAUGGUGAUUUAUUUUAAGUACUGUUUGUGUAAUAGC